rnacentral:misc_RNA from 1 species
ACUCCUACGGGAGGCAGCAGUGGGACUCCUACCGGAGGCAGCAGUGGGACAGUUGGCUCAGAACGAACGCUGGCGGCCCCACUCCUACGGGAGGCAGCAGUGGGCCCCACUCCUACGGGAGGCAGCAGUGGGACUCCUACGGGAGGCAGCAGUGGGACUCCUACGGGAGGCAGCAGUGGGACUCCUACGGGAGGCAGCAGUGGGACUCCUACGGGAGGCAGCAGUGGGACUCCUACGGGAGGCAGCAGUGGGACUCCUACUGGAUGCAGCAGUGGG